GGCCUUGUGGCUGAGGGGGUGACAGUGUCAGCGUCAUGGCUCGCUGCGUAAGCUGAUCCUCCUGGGCUCGAAUCCCAGCAAGGCCU